rnacentral:lncRNA from 1 species
UGGAUUUUUAACGUCUUCCGAUCGACUUAGCUCCGCAUUUUUACAGUCGUGCUGCUGACUUAUAUUAGCUUUAGACUUCAGACUAUCUUCAUUAGUCUUUAGCUUUUGUAUCUCAUCAUCCAUACUGUCCACUUUUUUACAAAGUGUAGUAAUGGCUUUGAGUAUCUCUUCAAUUGCAUUUUCGUUUUCAGUUUGAGUAGCUUUGUCUUGAUAAGUAAUCUGCAAUAACAUUUUUAUCAGUUUUUAUUACUUCUAUAGUGAAAGUGAAAUUUAGUAUAUUUAAU